GUUAAUUCAAAGGAUUUGAGACAACCAUAUGCACAGAAAUUCCAUUUCUCCUGAGCAAACAUGGCAAGCUAGCAUUCAACAAUGGCUACUAAGAAAAAUACAAAAGCAACUCUACAAUUACAAGAGAGAGAAAGAGAGAGAGAGGUGAAAAUCGACUGCUGAAAGAAGCCCCAGCUACCAAAGCACGCAAAGAAAAAAACAGUUGCAAAGACCAUAAAAUUUUCAAAGUAAAAACCUUUUGCUUCAAAACACACCAAAUCAUAAAGUUUAUUUUCACCUUAUUGAGAAUCAGUAGGGUUUUCAUCU
rnacentral:misc_RNA from 1 species